UGAACGCUGGCGGUAGGCCUAACACAUGCAAGUCGAACGGCAGCACAGUAAGAGCUUGCUCUUACGGGUGGCGAGUGGCGGACGGGUGAGGAAUACAUCGGAAUCUACUUUUUCGUGGGGGAUAACGUAGGGAAACUUACGCUAAUACCGCAUACGACCUACGGGUGAAAGCAGGGGAUCUUCGGACCUUGCGCGAUUGAAUGAGCCGAUGUCGGAUUAGCUAGUUGGCGGGGUAAAGGCCCACCAAGGCGACGAUCCGUAGCUGGUCUGAGAGGAUGAUCAGCCACACUGGAACUGAGACACGGUCCAGACUCCUACGGGAGGCAGCGGUGGGGAAUAUUGGACAAUGGGCGCAAGCCUGAUCCAGCCAUACCGCGUGGGUGAAGAAGGCCUUCGGGUUGUAAAGCCCUUUUGUUGGGAAAGAAAAGCAGCAGGUUAAUACCCCGCUGUUCUGACGGUACCCAAAGAAUAAGCACCGGCUAACUUCGUG
rnacentral:rRNA from 1 species